rnacentral:lncRNA from 1 species
GGAAAUUUUGGAGCCAGAAUUCCCAUGGGCAUCUCAUCCAUCAUGUCCCCCGAGAGGCCGGCCGU